rnacentral:rRNA from 1 species
CACGGGGGUUGCGAGCGUUGUCCGGAAUUACUGGGCGUAAAGGGUGCGUAGGUGGUUUCUUAAGUCAGAGGUGAAAGGCUACGGCUCAACCGUAGUAAGCCUUUGAAACUGGGAAACUUGAGUGCAGGAGAGGAGAGUGGAAUUCCUAGUGUAGCGGUGAAAUGCGUAGAUAUUAGGAGGAACACCAGUUGCGAAGGCGGCUUUCUGGACUGUAACUGACACUGAGGCACGAAAGCGUGGGGAGCAAACAGGAUUAGAUACCCUGGUAGUCCCUGAGCGGG